AAUGAAUGGAACCCUAGCUUGGCGCCGCCUGGUGACGUCGGGAGCCAGUGACGUCAUUGGUCUGCGCGCGGACCCGGCUGCAUCGAGCGGCGUGGAGCAGGUACAUAUAUAUACAUUUAUGAUUCGGAUCCAGUGAUCUCCUAUGAUCAAGGAGGAAUUUGAUCUAAUCAGGAAUUGCACAGUCUAUUCUGAAGCGCCGCAGCCCGGCCGCUUCCAGCGUCGGGUAACCAAGACGACGACGUAUGCACGGAGCGCACUGUGCAUGACGUCAUCCAGUUGAGACGGAAGAAGGGACGGACCACAGACGGCCGGGCGGGCGUGAUCAGGACACUUGGCGGGUUUUCUCU